rnacentral:lncRNA from 1 species
UCUAGAGUUAUCUUGGCUACGGGAACACCUAAGGGUCACAAUAAACGUCUACCAUGGCUAACAAGGACCACAAGGACAGGCUUGCCAACGUAUACUCCGGAUAUCAAUCGGAUACCUCACACACUUAGAGAGAAAUAAGUACCUCACACAAAAUAGAUCAAAUAUGAAACAAGAUAAAAGAUUUAAUACUUAGAAAUAAUUUAAUCAAGUUAUGAGAUAUCAUCAAAAUAACAAUACUAAAGAUUUGCAAAAGUAAUGAGCUACGGACAGUAUA